rnacentral:rRNA from 1 species
GACGAACGCUGGCGGCGUGCUUAACACAUGCAAGUCGAGCGGUAAGGCCCUUUCGGGGGUACACGAGCGGCGAACGGGUGAGUAACACGUGGGUGACCUGCCCUCAGCUCUGGGAUAAGCCCGGGAAACUGGGUCUAAUACCGGAUAUGACUCCACGGUGCAUGUCGUGGGGUGGAAAGCCUUGUGCGGCUGAGGAUGGGCCCGCGGCCUAUCAGCUUGUUGGUGGGGUGAUGGCCUACCAAGGCGACGACGGGUAGCCGGCCUGAGAGGGUGACCGGCCACACUGGGACUGAGACACGGCCCAGACUCCUACGGGAGGCAGCAGUGGGGAAUAUUGGACAAUGGGCGAAAGCCUGAUCCAGCAACGCCGCGUGAGGGAUGACGGCCUU